rnacentral:rRNA from 1 species
AUUGAACGCUGGCGGCAGGCCUAACACAUGCAAGUCGAGCGGAGCUGCGGACGGGUGAGUAAUGCCUAGGAUUCUGCCUGGUAGUGGUGGCUAACGUCCGGAAACGGGCGCUAAUACCGCAUACUAUCAGAUGAGCCUCGUUCGGAUUAGCUAGUUGGUGGGGUAAAGGCCUACCAAGGCGACGAUCCGUCACUGGUCGGAGAGGAGGAUAAGUCAAACUGGAACUGAGACACGGUCCAGACUCCUACGGGAGUCAGAAGUGGGGAAUAUUGGACAAGGGGCGAAAGCCUGAUCCAGCCAUGCCGCGUGUGUGAAGAAGGUCUUCGGAUUGUAAAGCACUUUAAGUUGGGAGGCGGUACCAACAGAAUAAGCACCGGCUAACUUCGUGCCAGCAGCCGCGGUAAUAC